UUGGAGGAUGAAAAAUGAUUUUAUGUUUAUCCUUUGUUUCAAUAAUUUUUCCCUUUCUCCUUCCAAAUGGAUUAAUAACAUACAGAUUCUUUCAUCAUGAUUAUCAACCAAUAAUCAAAAAUCAUCAUCAUGGAUUCUCCCUUAGGCUGAUGAGCUUUGACUAGACAGUUACCUGUCAAUGUUACUGAGCUUUUGGAUGGAAAAGCUUUAGAAAUACAUAAUACUAAUUACAUAUUUUAUUAAAUAGUUGACAGAAAACAUCAACUGAUUCCAAUGGAAACAGAAAAUUCAUAGAAUAGGAUGGAGAGAGAGAGAGAGAGGGAAAAAUUUCUAUUCUUCUUCUCCUGAAUUCCAAUAACUGGUAAACGAAUACCAAAAGAAAAUGGUUGCUAUGAAUAAGGAGAUUUUCUCGACUUACAAUGACACGAAACAAACAGAACAACAAUAAUAAUUAUCUUAUUAAGGAACCAGUGAUUUCCAUGUGAUAAAUACCAAGAGCCAAUAUUCAAGAAUUAAGUAUACAAAACUUGUAUUCAACUAUUAAUAUAACAUGGAAAACAAUUGAAUGUUCACAAUCAAACAUGAAAAUUGUUUUACUAAAAUCUACUGGCAAUCAUAUUACAUGUGUAAACCAUUUGUAUCUCAGCUGAUUCAUGAUAAAAUAUCAACAGCAAUAGAUAACCAUGAGGACGAAUGUUGAAACGAAGCAAAAAAAACAAGGAUAACAAUAUAAUGGGAACAACAUUGAUUUGAUUACAAUAAAAAUCGUCAUUUGAUUGUUUUCAAUUAUUACAAUAAAAGGAAAAGAAUAAAAAGAAACAAAGAGAUGCAAUAGACGAUGAUGAUAAUAAUAAUGAUGGUUAUUAGUUAUUUGAAAGAAGAAAAGUCCAUCAUCAUUAUAAUCAUCAACAUCAUGGAGUUAAAACAAGAAGCAGAAUAAUAUAUAACCAAAAUGCUGAAAUAACGAUCAAUAGCAGAGGAACAUCAACUUAUCAUCAUCAUCAUCUUUAAAUCACUUAUCCAUUUUCAUUUUCAUCUCUCUCCCUCUCUCAUUCUGUGAGCAUAAUGAUCCUGCCAACACACAGAUAUUUUAUUCCCAUGAACCAACAGAAAGUAACACCAAAGACUUGGAAGGAAAAAAAAUCCUAAUCAUCAUUUUCAUCAUCUUCAUCUUCCCAUGAGUGAGAUUGCUCAAUAUUUGGAGAUAAUUUUUUAUCUUUUCCUUCCUUCCGUAUAUUCUGAGUCUACACAUCAUCUCAUUUACAUUCAUCAUUUCACUUUUUUUUUGUUCAACUUGUUUGUCUUGUCUCCUUUUCUCCUCAUCACUUUUCCAUCUCAUUAUCAUCUCCAUCAUUAUCUUUCCCAUCAUUCAUUGGAACCAAUCGGAAUCAACAAUAACUAUGGAAGAAGAAAAAUGAUAGAGAAUAAGAAAAGACAAAGAAAAGUGAGAGUGAGAGAGAUAAAGUAAAAGUAGAGGUUGACCAAUCAGUGGCCAUCGAAAACCUCAGUGGGUCUAAACAAAUGCUGGAUAAAUAACCGAUGCUUCAGGGUUUCCAAUUCUCAUAAGUGUUUGUGAUAUUCACUAAGUAGACAUUGUGAACGUAAGAGAAAUCUAAUUGCUCUUUAGUAGCCACAUCAUCUUCAUCUUCUCUCUUACACCUUAUUCAUCAUACUGGUUUUAUCUUCAUCGUUCUUUGUAUAUUUUCCAAGUUUUGGCUUUUACUUUCUUUUCUUCUUCCAUGGAAUCUCCCCCAGGGAAGUUGAAGGAAAAAAAAUUCUGCCUUCGAAACGAUGAGAGAAAAAAAUCUUUUCUUUCAUUUCUCAAAAUGUUUGGAAAAAAAAAGAAGAGGAAAAUGUUACUCUAGAAGGAAAGAAAUUAAAUUUCAUGCUGUUCCAUAAAUUGUAGUUUGAUUUUUCAUCUUCACUAUUAUUAUUUUUCUCUUCCUUCUUUCUACAACAUUUACUAUCAUCAUCAUAAUGAUGACGAUGAUUAUCAUCAUUAUUAUUACAGUUAUUGCCUUGUAAAGCCUAAGGUUAACUGUAAUUUAGUUAAAUCUUUGAUGAAAAAGAGGUGACA